rnacentral:rRNA from 1 species
UAGGGAAUCUUCGGCAAUGGGGGGAACCCUGACCGAGCAACGCCGCGUGAGUGAAGAAGGUUUUCGGAUCGUAAAGCUCUGUUGUUAAGGAAGAACGAGUGUGAGAAUGGAAAGUUCAUACUGUGACGGUACUUAACCAGAAAGGGACGGCUAACUACGUGCCAGCAGCCGCGGUAAUACGUAGGUCCCGAGCGUUGUCCGGAUUUAUUGGGCGUAAAGCGAGCGCAGGCGGUUAGAUAAGUCUGAAGUUAAAGGCAGUGGCUCAACCAUUGUAGGCUUUGGAAACUGUUUUACUUGAGUGCAGAAGGGGAGAGUGGAAUUCCAUGUGUAGCGGUGAAAUGCGUAGAUAUAUGGAGGAACACCGGUGGCGAAAGCGGCUCUCUGGUCUGUAACUGACGCUGAGGCUCGAAAGCGUGGGGAGCGAACAGG